CCUACGGGGUGCAGCAGUGAGGAAUAUUGGUCAAUGGCCGGAAGGCUGAACCAGCCAUGCCGCGUGAAGGUCAGUGCCCUAUGGGCGUUAAACUUCUUUUGUGCGGGAGCAAUAAUGGUCACGUGUGGCCAGACGAGAGUACCGUACGAAUAAGCAUCGGCUAACUCCGUGCCAGCAGCCGCGGGAAUACGGGGGAUGCAAGCGUUAUCCGGAUUUAUUGGGUUUAAAGGGUGCGUAGGCUGUGAGGUAAGUCAGCGGGGAAAUGCCCCCGCUCAACGGGGUGAAGUGCCAUUGAUACUGCCUUGCUGGAAUGCGGAUGCCGUGGGAGGAAUGUGUGGUGUAGCGGUGAAAUGCAUAGAUAUCACACAGAACACCGAUUGCGAAGGCAUCUCACGAAUCCGCGAUUGACGCUGAUGCACGAAAGCGUGGGUAUCAAACAGGAUUAGAUACCCGGGUAGUC
rnacentral:rRNA from 1 species